AUUUAGGAGGUUCAUUUGGUUGUCCUGGGGUUAAAGAAAGCCUAAACUUGUACUUGACACUCUUUCUUGUUACAGGGUCCUGCUUGCUUUCUACUCUGUAGAAAAUGCAUCAGUGUCAUUGGUCUAUCUUUCCAUUAUUGCCAUUUUCCUAUUUUUAGCAUAUAUUUCAUGCCCUAAUUCAUGUUAAAAUUCAGUGUGUCCUGUUUCCUUGACUCCAGACAUCGCUCCUUGAAGAUGCAGAUCUGCUGAAAAACAAUACUCUUUAAAAAGUAAACAGUUUCCCUUACUCUCAGACUAACAUUAAAAAACAGUCUCUCAAAAGUUCUCAAAGGAACAUGUUUAAAAAUGAACGGGUAGACAUUUGUCUUUGUAAUGGAUAGUGUAUUUUUAGGUAGUAUAAAUUUUAUAGAAGUCAUAAAGUUUUAUGAACUUUAACAAAUGUCCUUCUCAGAAUAACUUGGGUCUUAUUGUCAGUAUGUUAUCUGGGAAAAGGUGACCAGAUCUGUUCCUAAAAGUGAGGAAUUUGCAAGUGGGAGGUUACAUGAGUUUGUGAAGAGAGUUUAAAAUCAAUCCCUUCAGCGCCUGCAGCAAAACCAGUUGGGUAACUUCAGAAUUCUUUUGGUUUUUCUCUAAAACCCAAUAAACCUCUGUGCCAGGCAGGAUUUGUCUUCUCUUGCAGGAAUUUGUCUCCCUUUCUUGGGACAAAUGUGACCUGCUCAGUAGUCCCAUAAGCUACAAGUUACUGGAGCUGAACUUGAGGAAAAAACGUCCCUGGACUUGCUGUGUCCGUGUCCCACGUGCUGGCACCCAGCCCUCAGCUGAGGACACACUGAAAUCUGCUUCCCUGUAGGCCUGAUCCUGCCUGAGCUUCAGGUGGUAAUUAAAUUCAUCAUCAUCUACACCUAUUUCCACUUAACCUCUUGAGGGGAAGAGCCACCUGAACACCAGCAGUUACUGGAACUUGCAGGAGUGAGGCACCCACAAGGAAGAGAAGCUCUCCCAUUUCUCCACCUCCAAAAGGGACUCAGUGAAGCAGAAAACCAAAAGUUAGUCUUCAGUGGUUGGGGAAAAUCCUGAAAGUUGGCAGAGGUGGUCUCCGGAUGAUCCAGCCCAGUUUUUCCAGGAUGAGGGAGCAAAGAGCUGGCAAGUGCAGAUUCCAGUUGCUCCUGGAGUCACAAAGAAGGGAAGGGGAAGCGCCGUGAUGAGGGGAUAUAAACCCACGUGCAGGGACAUGAAGCAGAGGACCUGCUUGGAAUGCGACCAUUGACAACCUCUCAGCUACACGAGGAAUUCAAGGAGUGCAUCACAGUUUGCCAGUGGCUCCCAUGUACCUCUUGCUGCCCUCAUGUCUGAAUGUCACCUUCCCAACUCUUCUAUGUGGUCAGAGCACAGGAGCCGGACUUUGGGAUGAAUCCAGCAUCAGAAAGGUGCUCCAUAAGGACAAUUCCUGUGCUCCAGCCAGACCAGACUGGAAAACCCAACCAGGUGUGCAAUAGGGAUGUGGGGCCCCCAUGACCAGCUGGAGAUCUGCUCCCAUUUGGCUUUCCCAUUACUUUCCAAUGUAGAUGGAGCCAUGUGACACCCAGAGUCCAUCAGCAGCAACACACCAGUUAUGGAAAAGACUCAGAAAUAUCACCAAAAAGAGGACUGGGCAAUACUGUGAAUUUCAAGUCUUUGAUGAACCAUCAUUCCAGUAACCCUACAGAUACCACUCAACUAGCACAGCCAGAGCUGAAGCUGCCAAGAACUCUGUAAAAAAAAGGGAGGAAAACAAAGUCAGCCGACUGCAUGCCAAGGAGGAGGUAUUUUGGAAGUUAAAAACUCUGAUUUGUAG